AUUGAACGCUGGCGGCAGGCUUAACACAUGCAAGUCGAGCGGGGGAAGGUAGCUUGCUACCGGACCUAGCGGCGGACGGGUGAGUAAUGCUUAGGAAUCUGCCUAUUAGUGGGGGACAACAUCUCGAAAGGGAUGCUAAUACCGCAUACGUCCUACGGGAGAAAGCAGGGGAUCUUCGGACCUUGCGCUAAUAGAUGAGCCUAAGUCGGAUUAGCUAGUUGGGGGGGUAAAGGCCUACCAAGGCGACGAUCUGUAGCGGGUCUGAGAGGAUGAUCCGCCACACUGGGACUGAGACACGGCCCAGACUCCUACGGGAGGCAGCAGUGGGGAAUAUUGGACAAUGGGGGGAACCCUGAUCCAGCCAUGCCGCGUGUGUGAAGAAGGCCUUAUGGUUGUAAAGCACUUUAAGCGAGGAGGAGGCUACUCUAGUUAAUACCUAGGGAUAGUGGACGUUACUCGCAGAAUAAGCACCGGCUAACUUCGUGCCAGCCGCCGCCGUAA
rnacentral:rRNA from 1 species